ACAACAUUUUCUUUAAUUUUGGAGCAUACAAAUUAAAUUUUUUUUAUCACUUUUGUCUCUUUCUAUCUAUGUAUGAAAUUCGUUAAUUUUCUUCAUUGAUUGUUCAUAUUUUCAAGAGUUGUUUGGUGUACCCAUAAAGAAAAAGAAUUUUUUUAAAAAAAAUUGAAAUUAAGAGAACCCCAUGGAUUUUCUGAGAAUUACUUUUGUAAUUUUCAUUUGUGAAGUUCUUCUGAACAUUCCUGCUAUAAUUGCAGCGGUGAUAUUGUUCAUGAUGAUGCUUAGCUCCAAAGAAUCCUAAUUGUGAGAAUGAUUUUGUGCUGCUGCAGCUCGUCAUCCAAAGAGGGUCAUUUGAAUGGUAAUUAUUCAAAGCAAACCAUAAUACUCUUCUUAUAAGAUGUAGUAGCUAUACACAAUUUCAAGCACGAAUUUAAUUGUAAAGUUUCUUUAGAAGCAGUGUGAAAAGACCAACUACUUUUUUUCUUCUUCUUUUCUGCACAAUAAUGAGUAUUAGCUUUACCUGAUGAACAAAAGUUUGGAUGCCAUUGUCUUGGGAAAUGGAGUGCUGCAAGGGUUUUAGAGGUGUUGUAUUCUGAUAUUACGAUAAUUAUUGGAUGACGUUUGGACUUUGGUGUCUCUCAUGUUAUUCUUUGGCAUAAUACAUAGAUUUGCCCUUAAACUUGGCUUCAAAUUUUAAGUAUGACCUCAAACUUUCACAGUGCACAAAUAGGCACUUUAACUAUCCUAUUUUUUUAUAAAUACACACGCGAAUCCUACAUGGCAAAACGCGUGUUAUGCACGUUUUCUGCGCGAGUUAUGACUAUUUUAAAGGCCCACAACGGUAAAAAAAAAGCAGAAAUGACAAAUAUACCCUUAAUGAAUUCCCUUUAUAUAUAUCUUUAUAUUUCCAAAUUAAAAUUUACCUAAAAUCUAAUUUCUCUUUCCUCCUCUUUCAAAUCAAAUUUUUUUUUCCUCUUUAGAACGAUUUGUGCUCAUAUUUUGUGUAAAUGGCUUCUAAUUUUUUUUGUCAUUGUGGAAAAAGAGCUAUAAUGAAGAUUUCUUGGUCUGCAAACAAUCCAGGUCGUUGGUUUCUUGGAUGUGAAGAUGGUCGGGUUGGUUGCAAGUUUUUUAGGUGGUGUGAACUUGAUUAUACUGAACACGCUAGAAUUGCUAUUUCGGGAUUACAAAAGAGGAUAAAAAAACAUGAUGAAGAAAAGGAAAAGAUUAGGAGAAAAUAUCGACUUUUGCUGAUCAUUGUGAUACUAUCUUGGAUUUAUA